rnacentral:rRNA from 1 species
GUCGAACGCAGUAGCAAUACUGAGUGGCAAACGGGUGAGUAUAAUGUGGGAAUCUGCCUUUUGGUUUGGAAUAACACGGGGAAACUUGUGCUAAUACCGGAUAAGCCCUUACGGGGAAAGUUUUAACGCCGAAAGAUGAGCCUGCACUUGAUUAGCUAGUUGGUAAGGUAAAAGCUUACCAAGCCAACGAUCAAUAGCUGUUCUUAGAGGAAGACCAGCCACAUUGGGACUGAGACACGGCCCAGACUCCUACGGGAGGCAGCAGUGGGGAAUCUUGCACAAUGGGGGAAACCCUGAUGCAGCGAUGCCGCGUGAGUGAAGAAGGCCUUUGGGUUGUAAAACUCUUUCGUCGGGGAAGAAAAUGACUGUACCCGAAUAAGAAGGUCCGGCUAACUUCGUGCCAGCAGCCGCGGUAAUACGAAGGGACCUAGCGUAGUUCGGAAUUACUGGGCUUAAAGAGCUCGUAGGUGGUUAAAAAAGUUGAUGGUGAAAUCCCAAGGCUCAACCUUGGAACUGCCAUCAAAACUUUUUAGCUAGAGUGUGAUAGAGGUAAGUGGAAUUUCUAGUGUAGAGGUGAAAUUCGUAGAUAUUAGAAAGAACACCAAAUGCGAAGGCAACUUACUGGGUCACUACUGACACUGAGGAGCGAAAGCAUGGGUAGCGAAGAGGAUUAGAUACCCUCGUAGUCCAUGCCGUAAACGAUGUGUGCUAGACGUUGGAAAUAUAUUUUUCAGUGUCGCAGCGAAAGCAUUAAGCACACCGCCUGGGGAGUACGACCGCAAGGUUAAAACUCAAAUGAAUUGACGGGGACCCGCACAAGCAGUGGAGCAUGUGGUUUAA